AGUCACAAGUUUGAGGCCAUAGGAGAAGCACUCACAGUGUGACCAUGUCAGAUUCCAACAAAUCUGCGAAUUCCACU
rnacentral:ribozyme from 1 species